rnacentral:lncRNA from 1 species
GUCGCUGGUUCUUUCUGUCUGUCUCUAUCCUAGUGUCGCUUGAUCUAUCUGUCUGUCUCAAUCCCAAUGUUGCUGGUUCUAUCUGUCUGUCUCUAUCCUACUGUCGCAUGAUCUACCUGUCUGUCUCUAUAACACUGUCGCUGGUUAUUUCUGUCUGUCUCUAUCCCACUGUUGCUCCUUCUACCUGUCUAUCUCUAUCCCACCAUUGCUCGUUCUAUCUGUCCGUCUCUAUCCCACUGUCACUGGUCCUAUCUGUCUGUCUCUAUCCCACUGUCACUGGUUCUAUCUGUCUGUCUCUAUCCCACUGUCACUUGUUCUGUCUGUCCGUCUCUAUCCCACUGUCACUGGUUCUAUCUGUCUGUCUCUAUCCCACUGUCACUGGUUCUAUCCGUCUGUCUCUAUCCCACUGUCCCUGGUCCUAUCUGUCUGUCUCUAUCCCACUGUCACUUGUUCUGUCUGUCCGUCUCUAUCCCACUUUAGCUGGUUCUAUCCAUCUGUUACUGGUUAUUUCUGUCUGUCUCUAUCCCACUGUCGCUGGUUCUGGGUGUCCGUAUCUAUCCCACAGUCGCUGGUUCUAUCUGUCUGUCUCUAUCCCACUUUAGCUCGUUCUGUCUGUCUGUCUGUCUCUAUUCUACUGUCGCUUGAUCUAUCUGUCUGUCUCAAUCCCACUGUCGCUGGUUAUUUCUGUCUGUCUCUAUCCCACUGUAGCUCCUUCUAUCUGUCUGUCUCUAUCCCACUUUAGCUUGUUCUGUCUGUCUGUCU